AGCUUGCUCCCGGAUGUUAGCGGCGGACGGGUGAGUAACACGUGGGUAACCUGCCUGUAAGACUGGGAUAACUCCGGGAAACCGGAGCUAAUACCGGAUAGUUCCUUGAACCGCAUGGUUCAAGGAUGAAAGACGGUUUCGGCUGUCACUUACAGAUGGACCCGCGGCGCAUUAGCUAGUUGGUGAGGUAACGGCUCACCAAGGCGACGAUGCGUAGCCGACCUGAGAGGGUGAUCGGCCACACUGGGACUGAGACACGGCCCAGACUCCUACGGGAGGCAGCAGUAGGGAAUCUUCCGCAAUGGACGAAAGUCUGACGGAGCAACGCCGCGUGAGUGAUGAAGGUUUUCGGAUCGUAAAGCUCUGUUGUUAGGGAAGAACAAGUGCAAGAGUAACUGCUUGCACCUUGACGGUACCUAACCAGAAAGCCACGGCUAACUACGUGCCAGCAGCCGCGGUAAUACGUAGGUGGCAAGCGUUGUCCGGAAUUAUUGGGCGUAAAGGGCUCGCAGGCGGUUUCUUAAGUCUGAUGUGAAAGCCCCCGGCUCAACCGGGGAGGGUCAUUGGAAACUGGGAAACUUGAGUGCAGAAGAGGAGAGUGGAAUUCCACGUGUAGCGGUGAAAUGCGUAGAGAUGUGGAGGAACACCAGUGGCGAAGGCGACUCUCUGGUCUGUAACUGACGCUGAGGAGC
rnacentral:rRNA from 1 species